GUCUCCGUGUGCCGCUCCCAAUCAACCCGCGUUUGCCCCAGCCUCCUAUCGCACGGAAACGGAGUCCUGCUGGGGUCUCCUUAACUGGGGGUUCCAGCGCUUCCGCGCACAACGUGCGCUUACGGACCGUCCGUGGACGUUACUGUGAACAAAACAGCGUGUUCAAAGCAAGUGGCUUGCCUGCCCUGCAUGUUAAAGCAUGGAAUAACAAGGCAUCGACCACUCGGCGGUGCUUUUGUUGGUCUUUCCCUCCCGGUGGGAAUGCGCAGGCGUGCACACUGCCGGCCUUCUGGCCGGUCUGGGUGCCGUCUCUUUGAGAUCAAUAGGGGCAAACGGGGAGAUGCCUAUUGUGGGGAGAGCGGUGAAAUGCGAUGACCCCCAUAAGAGGAACUUCAGCGAAAGCAGUUCUCAAGACUGCCUUCGUUAAUCAAGACCGAGACUGUGGGGAUCAAAGAUGAUCAGAUAGCGUCGUAGUCCACUAGCGUAAACGAUGCCGACUCAUCAUUGGGGG
rnacentral:rRNA from 1 species